rnacentral:rRNA from 1 species
UACGUAGGGGGCAAGCGUUGUCCGGAUUUAUUGGGCGUAAAGAGCGUGUAGGCGGCUUUGCAAGUCCGUUGUGAAAACUCGAGGCUCAACCUCGAGACGCCGGUGGAAACUGCAAAGCUAGAGUCCGGAAGAGGAGAGUGGAAUUCCUGGUGUAGCGGUGAAAUGCGCAGAUAUCAGGAAGAACACCCGUGGCGAAGGCGGCUCUCUGGGACGGUACUGACACUGAGCAGCGAAAGCGUGGGGAGCAAACAGG